GACUGUGUGGCCCUGGGUUGGGCACUGGCCCAGAGUCUGAACAGUCCUUGGUGCCAACUGCACAGGGUAACUCAGGGAUUAGUGCCCGUAAAGCCUCAGCCCACCCAGUACCCAUGGGCAGAACUGGAGGCGGUAGUGCUUGGUGUUGGCAAAGAGGAGAGUUGGUCAGUCGCAGGGUCGGGUCACCUGUUGCUUGUUUCUGGUUCUACCCUGCACUUGCUGUGGGUCCUUGGACAAGCACUUUAAUCUCUCUGAGCCAGGACUCAACUAUAUGAGAUAGAUGUAAUAAGGCAGCCACCUCCAUGGGAUUUCUCCUGUUAAGGCACCUGGUGUGUGGUUCCUGGCAUGUGGGGAGGCUUGAUGGUUGGAGCUGCUGCUGUUAGUUGUUUAUUAUAGGCACAUCAUGUGCUGGGCUUCCAGGGAUGCCAUGUGCUCCCAUCAGGGGGUGGAGGAGCAGAGGGCCUAGGGUCUCGGUGUUGUAGUCAGUCGGACCUGCCUCUGCUACCCACCAGCUGUGCGCCUUCCUCCUGUCUGAGCCUUGGGCCUCUAGAUAAGCCUAAGUUUGCUUAUCUACCGAAUGGGGAUGGAAUAGUUGUCCCAGCUCUUAGGCUGGUGGGCAGGAUUCCGUGAGAUCAGAGCCAGGCAAGAAGGCACCCAGUAAAUGUAGCCCUGGGGGUUGCAAAUCCUGGUCAUUCUGACAAAGACCAGGUAAGCACUUAGCAUGGAAGUCCCUUUGUUCUGAGGCUGUGCCCUGAGUAUGACAGGAAAUUAUCGAACUCUCCAGCCCUUCAGCAAGCCUUUCAUCGCGAGGCAGACUGGGAUUCAGAUGCUGGCUCUGCCAGCCAGUAUCCCCUCUCUGAGUUCAGUGCCCUCAUUUCCACGUGAGGAGAGGAGCAGGACACGCCCCCUCGGCUUAUUCUUCCGCCUGGACUAGGUUGUCGGCAGCACCUGCCCUGACAGGGACCCAGCCAGCCACUGAGUUCCGUUCAGUGUUAUCGCCAGCCGAAUGCCCACCCCUUCCCCUGGUUUGCCUCCCCUUCCCCGUGCAGGGAACGGGAACGCCGAGAGAAGGAGAGAGAAGAAUGGGAACGCCAGUACAGCCGGCAGAGCCGCUCGCCCUCCCCCCGUUACAGUCGAGAAUACAGCUCUUCCCGAAGGCGCUCAAGGUCCAGAUCCCGAAGCCCCCACUACCGACAUUAGGCAGAAGCGUGGGGGGGGGGGGGCAGAGGGGUGAGGGGGUGGGGCGAGGGCUCAAGCUGUGACG